GACGAACGCUGGCGGCGUGCUUAACACAUGCAAGUCGAACGGAAAGGCCCUGCUUUUGUGGGGUGCUCGAGUGGCGAACGGGUGAGUAACACGUGAGUAACCUGUCCUUGACUUUGGGAUAACUUCAGGAAACUGGGGCUAAUACCGGAUAGGAGCUCCUGCUGCAUGGUGGGGGUUGGAAAGUUUCGGCGGUUGGGGAUGGACUCGCGGCUUAUCAGCUUGUUGGUGUGGUAGUGGCUUACCAAGGCUUUGACGGGUAGCCGGCCUGAGAGGGUGACCGGCCACAUUGGGACUGAGAUACGGCCCAGACUCCUACGGGAGGCAGCAGUGGGGAAUAUUGCACAAUGGGCGGAAGCCUGAUGCAGCAACGCCGCGUGCGGGAUGACGGCCUUCGGGUUGUAAACCGCUUUCGCCUGUGACGAAGCGUGAGUGACGGUAAUGGGUAAAGAAGCACCGGCUAACUACGUG
rnacentral:rRNA from 1 species